rnacentral:rRNA from 1 species
UACGGAGGGAGCUAGCGUUGUUCGGAAUUACUGGGCGUAAAGCGCACGUAGGCGGCUUUGUAAGUUAGAGGUGAAAGCCCGGGGCUCAACUCCGGAACUGCCUUUAAGACUGCAUCGCUUGAAUCCAGGAGAGGUGAGUGGAAUUCCGAGUGUAGAGGUGAAAUUCGUAGAUAUUCGGAAGAACACCGGUGGCGAAGGCGGCUCACUGGACUGGUAUUGACGCUGAGGUGCGAAAGCGUGGGGAGCAAACAGG